rnacentral:tRNA from 1 species
UGGCCCCGUGGCUCAACUGGAUAGAGCAGCCCCCUCCUAAGGGGCAGGUUAUUGGUUCGAAUCCAAUCGGGGUCACCAUC